GACGAACGCUGGCGGCGCGCUUAACACAUGCAAGUCGAACGGAAAGGCCUGCUUUCCCUUGUGGAUUGCGGGUACUCGAGUGGCGAACGGGUGAGUAACACGUGAGUGAUCUGCCCCCAACUUGGGUAUAAGCCUGGGAAACUGGGUCUAAUUCCCGAUAGGACUGCAGGGUGGUGCCUGUGGUGGAAAACGAUCUUCUAGUGGUUGGGGAUGAGCUCGCGGCCUAUCAGCUUGUUGGUGGGGUAAUGGCCUACCAAGGCGGCGACGGGUAGCCGGCCUGAGAGGGUGGACGGCCGCAUUGGGACUGAGAUACGGCCCCGACUCCUACGGGAGGCAGCAGUGGGGAAUAUUGCACAGUGGGCGGAAGCCUGAUGCAGCGACGCCGCGUGGGGGAUGACGGCCUUCGGGUUGUAAGCUCCUUUCGACCGCGAGGAAGCCACCUGGUUGGACGGGUGGUGACGGUAGUGGUAGAAGAAGCACCGGCUAACUACGUG
rnacentral:rRNA from 1 species